CACAGGCACAAAACAAUGUUGUUUUCCCUUUGCUAUUUAAAGCAAAAUUUUUGUUUUAAAAUCAUUUUAACCCUUAGUGUAAAAAAACUUUUGAAGCUUCAAAACUCUCCCAUUCCUCCUUAGAUACCAGAACAUUCGGCCAUUUUUAAAACAAAACCAUAAAUCGUUUUUUAAAAUCCUCCCAAGCGGACCUUGACGGUGCUGAAAUAUGUUGCCAUCUCCGCCAUGGCUUCAAACGGUCCCUAGGGAUCCGUCUGCCAUUGGGUCGGAGGAGCCAAACACCGAUUAGAUCAAUACCAAAUGAUAGCUGAAAAAAAAUGGAACAAAAAAAACUUCUUUGCUGUACUGUCCCUCCUUUUGCGUUUGCUUACAAGUACGUGUGCGGGCAUACCACUGACGUGGCGUGGUGGAGCGGCGCACGACUCGGAGAGGCCCGCGACGUGCGGCGCCUGGAGGCUAAUCUUGGCUACGGCGCACUGGAACCCUAGGGUUCCUGAGAAUCAUUUGAUCUCUGGGCCAUUUGGGCCGAUACAAUUUUGGGUCUAAUGUUUUAGGUUUAUUUGAACUUGAUUGGGUUUGAGGAUUAGUAUUUGAGUUUUAAUUGGUUGUAAAUGAGCUUUGUAUUUUGGACUGUUGUUUAUUGGGCCCCGGGUUAAAAUUGGGCCCUACAAGCAGUAUAUUGAAUAAAUAAAAGCAUAAGAUACCACAGCCCCCUCAAAACCUUUAUUGGUUGGACUGGCUGAAACUAAA